AGCAGCCGCGGUAAUUCCAGCUCCAAUAGCGUAUAUUAAAGUUGUUGCAGUUAAAAAGCUCGUAGUUGAAUUUCGGGGUUAGCAGGUCGGUCGUGCCAUCGGUAUGAACUGGUCUCGCUGAUCCCUCCCUCUUGACGAACUGUGAUGCCAUUAAUUUGGUGUCGCAGGGAAUCAGGACUGUUACUUUGAAAAAUUAGAGUGUUUAAAGCAGGCUCACGCUUGAAUACAUUAGCAUGGAAUAAUGAAAUAGGACGUUUGAUUCCUAUUUUGUUGGUUUCUAGGAUUGACGUAAUGAUUAAUAGGGAUAGUUGGGGGCAGUUAGUAUUCAAUUUGUCAGAGGUGAAAUUCUUGGAUUUAUUGAAGACUAACUACUGCGAAAGCAUUUGCCUAAGGAUGUUUUACAUUAAUCAAAGAACGAAAGUUAGGGGAUCGAAGACGAUACAGAUACCGUCGUAGUACUUAGACCAUAAACUAUGCCGACGUAGGAUCGGAUGAAUUGUUAAUUUUUAAGUGUACUCUA
rnacentral:rRNA from 1 species